rnacentral:rRNA from 1 species
GAUGAACGCUGGCGGCGUGCCUAAUACAUGCAAGUCGAGCGAACGGACGAGAAGCUUGCUUCUCUGAUGUUAGCGGCGGACGGGUGAGUAACACGUGGAUAACCUACCUAUAAGACUGGGAUAACUUCGGGAAACCGGAGCUAAUACCGGAUGAUAUUUUGAACCGCAUGGUUCAAAAGUGAAAGACGGUCUUGCUGUCACUUAUAGAUGGAUCCGCGCUGCAUUAGCUAGUUGGUAAGGUAACGGCUUACCAAGGCAACGAUGCAUAGCCGACCUGAGAGGGUGAUCGGCCACACUGGAACUGAGACACGGUCCAGACUCCUACGGGAGGCAGCAGUAGGGAAUCUUACGCAAUGGGCGAGAGCCUGACGGAGCAACGCCGCGUGAGUGAUGAAGGUCUUCGGAUCGUAAAACUCUGUUAUUAGGGAAGAACAUAUGUGUAAGUAACUGUGCACAUCUUGACGGUACCUAAUCAGAAAGCCACGGCUAACUACGUG